UACGUAGGGGGCAAGCGUUGUUCGGAAUUACUGGGCGUAAAGCGCGCGUAGGCGGUUUGGAAAGUCAGAUGUGAAAGCCCCGGGCUCAACUUGGGAACUGCAUUUGAUACUGCCAGACUAGAGUACAGAAGAGGUGACUGGAAUUCCCAGUGUAGCGGUGAAAUGCGUAGAUAUUGGGAGGAACACCAGAUGCGAAGGCGGGUCACUGGGCUGACACUGACGCUCAUGCACGAAAGCGUGGGGAGCAAACAGG
rnacentral:rRNA from 1 species